UACGGGGGGGGCAAGCGUUGUUCGGAAUUACUGGGCGUAAAGGGCUGGUAGGCGGCCAACUAAGCCGGAUGUGAAAUCCCCAGGCUUAACCUGGGAACUGCAUCCGAUACUGGUCGGCUUGAAUCCGGGAGAGGGAUGCAGAAUUCCAGGUGUAGCGGUGAAAUGCGUAGAUAUCUGGAGGAAUACCGGUGGCGAAGGCGGCAUCCUGGACCGGCAUUGACGCUGAACAGCGAAAGCUAGGGGAGCAAACGGG
rnacentral:rRNA from 1 species